rnacentral:rRNA from 2 species
GGACUACUGGGGUAUCUAAUCCUGUUUGCUCCCCACGCUUUCGCACCUCAGCGUCAGUACCGGACCAGUGGGCCGCCUUCGCCACCGGUGUUCUUCCUAAUAUCUACGAAUUUCACCUCUACACUAGGAAUUCCACCCACCUCUUCCGGACUCAAGACGUGCUGUAUCAAAGGCAGUUCCGAAGUUGAGCUCCGGGAUUUCACCCCUGACUGACACAUCCGCCUACGUGCGCUUUACGCCCAGUGAUUCCGAACAACGCUAGCUCCCUUCGUAUUACCGCGGCUGCUGGCAC